CAGUCGCCGCGGUAAUACGGAGGAUCCAAGCGUUAUCCGGAAUCAUUGGGUUUAAAGGGUCCGUAGGCGGUCUUGUAAGUCAGUGGUGAAAGCCCAUCGCUCAACGGUGGAACGGCCAUUGAUACUGCAGGACUUGAAUUAUUGGGAAGUAACUAGAAUAUGUAGUGUAGCGGUGAAAUGCUUAGAGAUUACAUGGAAUACCAAUUGCGAAGGCAGGUUACUACCAAUUGAUUGACGCUGAUGGACGAAAGCGUGGGUAGCGAACAGGAUUAGAUACCCCAGUAGUCCCUGUCUCUUAUAA
rnacentral:rRNA from 1 species